GAUGAACGCUGGCGGCGUGCCUAAUACAUGCAAGUCGAGCGAUGCGGGGACGGGGGAGUAACACGCGGAUACCAUCCUCUUAGACUGGGAGAAAUCCGGGGAACCGGAGCUCUAUCCGAUACUUAAUGAUGGAUCCGCGCGGCAUUAGCUAGUUGGUAAGGUAACGGCUUACCAAGGCAACGAUGCAUAGCAGACCUGAGAGGAUGAUCGGCCACACUGGAACUGAGACACGGUCCAGACUCCUACGGGAGGCAGCAGUGGGGAAUCUUCCGCAAUGGGCGAAAGCCUGACGGGGCAACGCCGCGUGAUUGAUGAAGGUCUUCGGAUCGUAAAACUCUGUUAUUAGGGAAGCGGUACCUAAUCAGAAAGCCACGGCUAACUACGUGCCAGCAGCCGCGGUAAUAC
rnacentral:rRNA from 1 species